rnacentral:lncRNA from 1 species
AACUCAAACAAGAGAAAGCACCCCAAUUCUAUAUUGCUCUCUCUUUUUCUCUCUACCACUCUCUUUGCUACCUAUCUUCCUGUUGAAUGUUGAUAUUCUUGGGUAUCUUUAAAAGCCAUGGAGAAAAGAAGAAUAUGAUCCAUUUGUGCAAAUCUUUAGACCAGCUUCUCACUUAAAUACGAGAUGCUGCGGUCCGACUUUGUAUUCCUCUUUAUCCACAUAUUGUCAUGACAUAGACAUGUGCAUAUAUUAUCC